rnacentral:rRNA from 1 species
GACGAACGCUGGCGGCGUGCUUAACACAUGCAAGUCGAACGAAGUGGCGAACGGGUGAGUCACGCGUAAUCAACCUGCCCUUCAGAGGGGUACAACAGUUGGAAACGACUUCUAAUACCGCAUACUGCAGUAGGGGAUUGCGUCUGAUUAGCUAGUUGGAGGGGUAACGGCCCACCAAGGCGAGGAUAAGUAGCCGGUCUGAGAGGAUGAACGGCCACAUUGGGACUGGGACACGGCCCAGACUCCUACGGGAGGCAGCAGGUGGGAAUCUUCCGCAAUGGACGAAAGUCUGACGGAGCAACGCCGCGUGAGUGAUGACGGCCUUCGGGUUGUAAAGCUCUGUUAAUCGGGACGCGGUACCGGAAUAGAAAGCCACGGCUAACUACGUGCCAGCAGCCGCGGUAAUUC